GACGAACGCUGGCGGCGUGCUUAACACAUGCAAGUCGAACGGAAAGGCCCUGCUUGCAGGGUACUCGAGUGGCGAACGGGUGAGUAACACGUGGGUGAUCUGCCCUGCACUUCGGGAUAAGCCUGGGAAACUGGGUCUAAUACCGGAUAGGAGCCAUUUUUAGUGUGAUGGUUGGAAAGUUUUUUCGGUGUAGGAUGAGCUCGCGGCCUAUCAGCUUGUUGGUGGGGUAAUGGCCUACCAAGGCGGCGACGGGUAGCCGGCCUGAGAGGGUGGACGGCCACAUUGGGACUGAGAUACGGCCCAGACUCCUACGGGAGGCAGCAGUGGGGAAUAUUGCACAAUGGGCGCAAGCCUGAUGCAGCGACGCCGCGUGGGGGAUGACGGCCUUCGGGCUGGAAACUCCUUUCGCUAGGGACGAAGCUUUUUGUGACGGUACCUAGAUAAGAAGCACCGGCUAACUACGUG
rnacentral:rRNA from 1 species